AAUUCUCAACCCCCCUAUUUUGUGAUGAGAUAGGAGCUAGGGCUUGGAUGUGGUUGUUGCAGGCUCUUUAAGUAGAACCAGCUCGACUGAAAUACAUGAGCAACCCAGUUUGAAUAAUCAGCGGCUUGACUCGACGUAAUAAAUAUUCGUUGAGGACGCUAACUUUUCAAGAUAGUUGGUGCUUCUAAUUCGUACUUCGGUACACUUUUAAGC
rnacentral:misc_RNA from 1 species